rnacentral:sRNA from 1 species
AUCUAUUGCUGCAAGCUAUCCCUCGCUGCUAAGCUAUCGCUGCCAACCUAUCUAUCGCUGCCAACCUAUCUAUCGCUGCUAAGCUAUCCCUCGCUGCUAAGCUAUCGCCGCUGCCAACCUAUCUAUUGCUGCAAGCUAUCCCUCGCUGCUAAGCUAUCGCCGCUGCCAACCUAUCUAUCGCUGCCAACCUAUCUAUUGCUGCAAGCUAUCCCUCGCUGCUAAGCUAUCCCUCGCUGCUAAGCUAUCUAUCACUGCUAAUCUAUCGCUGCCAACCUAUCUAUCACUGCCAAUCUAUCUAUCGCUGCUAAUCUAUCGCUGCUAAUCUAUCGCUGCUGCCAAUCUAUCUAUCGCUGCUAAUCUAUCGCUGCUAAUCUAUCGCUGCUGCCAAUCUAUCUAUCGCUGCUAAUCUAUCGCUGCUAAUCUAUCGCUGCUGCCAAUCUAUCUAUUGCUGCUAAUCUAUCGCUGCUAAUCUAUUGCUGCUAAUCUAUUGCUGCUGCCAAUCUAUCUAUCACUGCUAAUCUAUCACUGCUAAUCUAUCGCUGCUAAUCUAUCGCUGCUAAUCUAUCGCUGCUAAUCUAUCGCUGCUAAUCUAUCGCUGCCAACCUAUCUACCGCGGCGAAUCUAUCUAUUGCUGCCAACCAACCUACCACUGCCAACCUAUCUAUCGCUGCCAAUCUAUCGCUGCCAAUCUAUCGCUGCCAACCUAUCUACUGCAGUGAAUCUAUCUAUCACUAUCAUUACUAGUUCAAAAUAGAACUAGAGCAUAAAUACACUAAACUUCUUUUGAUAGAUAAUGAUUUUUGAUAAUGCUCAUAGCAUUAUAUCAUCUAUAUAGAGUAAAUCAUGGUCCCAUUUGAUCCCAUUUUAACAAAAUGGGACCAAAUGGAACCAGAAUCAGUAAUUUAUAAGAAGAACAUGAUCUGAGACUAGAUUUAUAAUAUAAACAGUGUAAAGUGACUAAUUUAAUAAACACUAUAUGAGA